GGAGAGAUGGCCGAGUAGGUCGAAGGCGCUCGCCUGCUAAGCGAGUAUACUCCGAAAGGGGUAUCCCGGGUUCGAAUCCCGGUCUCUCCGCCA
rnacentral:tRNA from 2 species